rnacentral:tRNA from 1 species
GUGUGUGUGGUUUAUUUUUAAAAUAUGAGGCUGUUAACUUCAAGACGGGCUAUUGCUCCACAGGCG